CAGCUCCCCAGUGGCUACCUCCUCUGCUGUUGGAGGGGAUAUGAAGGAAAAGAAGGUGUGCCAGCCUGUCACCUCCCAAAGGACCUCCUUUCUCCCGAAGAGCAGCUGGUUUCUUUAGGGGAGGAGCUGGAGAGGCAGGAUGGGGUUUUGAGACCAGAAGAGGACCACAACCCUACUGGAUCCAAACCCUGCAGUAUUGCUGCUGUCUGGACUCUCCCCAGUCAUCCAGCAGAUGACAAAGAGGACCCUGUAAGACCAUUCCAUUCCCAGCCUUUCUUUUCUCCUUGGGCCCUGUGUCUGAAAGAGACCAGACACUGCUGUAGGACCAGCCUCUGAAAUCAGCCCACGGAACAGGCAUGCGGGUCCCUGAAGGUGCUGAGACUGAGGCCGAUGAAGAAGCCUGGGACGGGGUGACGCUUCCCCUGUCCAUCCAGCCCCACGGAGGAGCGAGAGGAAACACAGAAGAGGCUGACAGCACGGCAAAGUGGAACACCAGAACUUGCUCCCCAGGGAGACUGGCUGUGGAAUACCUUAAAUUAGAAGUCUUAAAAAAUGUGUUAGGGAUCCCUGUUGCCCUGGUUGGCUUUGGGUGUGGUUCUUUCCAAAGGAGAACGAUUGGUGGAGGUUUUCCAGCCCUGUAAUUCUACUUGUGAUGAGGUGGAAUUAAAGCUGAAA